rnacentral:lncRNA from 12 species
AUGGACUCCAUGGACACGCUGAGCACUGCUUCCCAGUUCUACCCACUUAAACUGCCUCUGUCUGUCUCGGCUGAUGAUGCCAACAUGCCGUCAUUAGGGAAAGCCAUGCGCUGCACUAUCUCUAGUGUGGAUCCAGGGGGUCUGUAUCUGAUCUACUGCCCACUGGCACUGAUCCUUUGGGUGGGCAGCUGUGUGCCUCCUCAUACUCUUCUACAGCUUUUCAACACCAACUCCUUCUACCUCACAUCUGGAGAGAUCAAACUUCCAGUGCUUGAGAACUCCCUCUCUAUCAGCACCAGAGCUCUCGUAUGCUCUCUGCAGUCCUCAGCAGCUGUUACUCUCCAGCUAAAACUGGUUUGAGAGGGUGACAGCUGUGAGGAGUCUCUGCAGCGCCUCCUGGUGGAGGACAAGAGUCCGUACGGUGGAGCUUCAUAUGCUGAUUUCCUUUUUCACCUUCAUGUCAAUGCAUUGCGUCUUACUGUGUGACAGUCUCUUCUCAUAGACAAGGCUGUAAAAUAUUUGUAAAGCCCUUUGUGUCUCCCUUCGUGUCUACCUUUUGCUCCCUCUAUAGCCAUUGCUGUCAUUCUAAAAUCAAUGAGGAAUAAGAAUUCUGUCUUGUAUGGAUUUACCAAACAAUUACCUCUGAAAUACUUAUAUUUUGCAAAUUUAGUAAAUACAAAUUUGAUGUGACCAGCUUAUUAUAGGAGAAAUGCUGAAUACUAAAAUUAGUCCUUUCAUUUUCAAGGGUCCAGAAUGACGAAUACUGUUUGAACUCCCAUCAAAGACUCAGUGAUUAAUGAUUCUGUAUUUGAAGUGUGUGUGUGUGUGUGUGUGUUUGGUUCUAGACAUGGGUUUGAUUUAACAUUUGCUCUUGAGUCAUGAAUAUUGCACUCUGAAUUGAUUUCAUGAAUUAGCCCAACUGACAGUGAUGAGUAAGAGUGUGCAUGUUAAUAUUUUUCAAGCAAUAAUAUAUUCAUUUUUUUUAAAUUACACAUCAAUAUUUAAUGUCUUGAUAAAACCACAGAUAUUUUUCAAUGAGCCACCAUCAUGUUAACCUAACACUUUACAGUUUUAAUCAUUUAUUUAUAUAUUUAUUUAUUUUAUGAAGAAUAUACGUUUCUCUCCAAAAAUGAAUAAAUAACUGAAAAUGUGUGACUGGCUCUGAAUCAUUCUCAGCCGAAUCUCUUUAGCAUUGAUCUUCUUUAUGUUCUUGUGCAUUUCUGUCCCUCCUCCACAGAGAACCAAAACACUCCUAAUGAGUCAUACCAACUCUGAUUAGUGUAAUUGGGGUUAAUGAUGUUGACAUUGAGCUGAAUAUGAAAUAUCCGAGUGGGUGUCCAAGUUAGUUAUCUAAUGGCUGAAAAAAUACACACACACACACACACACACACACACACACACACACACACACACACACACACACACACACACACACACACACACACACACACACACACACACACACACACACACACACACACACACACACACACACACACACACACACAC